AGCGAACAUUCACAUAUCAUUUGUUUUCCGCGGCCAUCUUGGAACUCUUCAUGUCAAGUCUCAUCACGAUUGUCCAAACUGUGUUGGUUUCUAAAAAUAGCCUAACACUGUUCGAUAUUACCCUAGUAGUAGGCCUACACAACAGCAUCAUUUGUUCUCUCCUCUUUUUUUUACAAAGCGUAUAUAGUUUAUUAUAGUUAGAACUUCAGGGCUAGUGUUAGAUCUAGAGGUCCAUAUAAUGAACAUACAUAUAAAUAAUCUCACAAGUCGAAUCAGAAAAAUCGUACGUUCAAGCAUCUGUCGGUGUCACGGGUUCGAUACUCGAUUUUAUCAAUUUUUUUUUUUAUUUUAUCAUAUUUAAUUUCAAUAAUGGAGGUAUUGUCUUUUUAUUUUUUUUUUUUAAGUUUUUCAUGUCAAUUAUUGUGAUGUCAGAUAAAAAAAGGAGCAAAUGGCCUGACUUCAAACUCAUGACUCAAGCCUCCUCGAGCCGACGUGCUAGCCACUCUUCUAUUCAGAAAUAUACAGGUAAGAAAUUCUUCUACCUGGUCUUUCAUCUAACGGCCCAGGCAGAACGAAGAAGACUUGCGAAAAUAAAAGAAAGACAAAAAGUUCCUUUCCUUGAGAGUUAUGUCGUCUGGCAGGAGGCGGAACUACUUUCAUUAAACUGUCAGGAGCUGUUUUCUUGGUUGAACAUUGGGAUUGCUUUGACGUGCAAAGUUUGUUGACUUUGCCAGAUAGACUUCUUUGUUCUGUGAAGCAGCCAGAGUUCUCAAGUCUGCUCACUGUUUGUAUUCCAUAUUCAAUUCACUACUUCAUGGAACCUGGAUCCAGGAACCCGGAGAGCUGAUCUCAAAAACGCAUCUAAUGAUUUUCCUAAAAAUUUCUCUGAGAAAAGAAUUAUGACCUGGUUGGCCACACAGGGAAAACUCUCGUUUGAUCGUUAUAAUUUUCAAAGUAAAAAAAAAAAAUAAAUAUAAAUUUGGCUUGACUAGACUUACGAAAAAAAAACAUGGCGUAGUCAGCCAUAGUGUUCUAAAAUUUAAAGAAUUACAGAGUAAAUUUAUUUUAUUUCAAUUUUAUUGAAAGAAUAUCUAAGCUUUAUUAACAUUUUUUAAAGUAAAUCUAAUAUAGAUUACAUCAAGAUUCUAGAUCUAGAAAGAGCUCUAGACUAGAUCUUAAGAGCUCUAAAUCAGAUCUUGAUGUCCAAAUAAUGAAAAUAUCAAGAGAUAAUCACAAUACUUUAAGCUCCCUGUGGCUGACUUGGCAAUUCCACAUCAGAAUACGUUCACACAUCUGAUGGGAUCAAAAUCACUGGCUCUAUACCCGGUUUGAUCCAAAUAUUUAAUUUAAAAUAUCUAUAUACAUAAUUCUGUUCGUCCCUCAACAGUUUAAACGAGUAGUAAGGGGUAAAGGAAAGAUCACUCUGCGGAUAGUCCACGAGAAAACAAGAGAACACGUAGUCACAACAGAGCAGGGCAGGACCUGUGCAAUAUCACUCCUUUUUUUUUAUUUCUACCUCACGUUAAAAAAAAAGGGGGGGGGGAGUAAUCUACUCUGUAGUAACUAUCGAGGCCACAGAGCACGCUCAAGAGUUUGGACACAAUGGAAAAAUCACUCUUUUAUUUUUGAAACUCGGACGGAGGGAGUUAUCCUAGGUAAUUUAAGAGUGAAAAAAAAUCAACAGGAGGCCGCGGGAAAUCUAUUAUAAAAUGGUUUCAUUUAAUAAUUUAUACACCUAAAAUUAGCGCGGGUCCUAUAAAAGUGUGCUGGGCCCACUGCGGUCGCAUAGGUUGAAGUGGCCUAAGGUUGGCCAUGCAAAAUAGCGGCGUAUGCUACGCCGCCGGUCGACUAGUUUUAUUAUAUUUUUGUAGUCUAAUGGAGUUAGACCAGGGGUGGGCAACCUUUCUGUAUCAAGGGCCGCAUUCAAACAAUUUUAGAAAUGGGGGGGGCGCAUAUAUGUAUUCAUGUGUGUGUGUGUAUAUAUAUAUAUAUACAUGUAUAUGUACUUACAACAUAGAAAAACACGCUAGCUAACUGUUUAAUGUCUUUUAAUUCAUAUUUAUACUGUAGUAUAUAUUCACUUUUCCUUUUGUUCCCACUCCCGAUUGAGGAAUUACAAGUGUCAACUGCGUGAAACUAAUUUUACGAUUUUUUAAAAUAAAAUUUUGGUAUCGUCGUUUUACUUCACAACACUUCACCACAAAUGUACAGUUUACUUCAUGUGAAGAAUUUUACUGUUUACACUCAUGUGUAAUGUUCCGGAACUUUGGAACUGGCUUAUUAGUUGUUAUCCUUGGUGACUACUGUCAAACUACAGCAGAAGUAUUUACUGGAACUUCUCUUUCGUGUCAUAAUGUGCAUGGAGCUAUGUUCUAUGGAGCUGAAUCAGCUUCUGCGCUAAAUGGUUGAAAACUGGUUCUUGACGUCUUAAAAUUUGCUUUUAUAAAUGCCACACUUAAGGAAUCCAAAUAAAUCUUGUACUAUUAAACAUUUCAUUACAAAUAGUUUCACAUUUCAGCAAAGGAAAAUGACAAGGCCUGUUUUCAAUUGGAGAAAUUAGAAAGCCUUGUUUGAAAAGAUAUAACAUGCACUUACAUUUCAUAUGCAAACAACUCAUUGUAUUUUGUGCUAUGGAAAACAUGAAAUCUGUCUUCUACCUUUAAUUAGAAAUAUUAGUAACAAAGUCACAGUCAGUGUCCAUCAAGGAACAUAACAAUUUCUUUAUUGAGAUUUUAUAUUCUUCGCAGUACAUUGCCAAUGCUAAGCCAGCGGAUACAUUGGAAUAUUUUUUUCUAAAUCUUUAAGUAUUUUUCGAAACUGACUGUGGAUAACACCCCUAGCUCUAAUAACUUUCAUUAUUUUGAAAUGUAUGCCAAUAAUGAGAUAUUUUAUUCAGCUUUGCGCAAACGUUCCUGUUUAGAGUUUAUGGUUGGAAUAUUCUUUAAAAAACAAGAAAAAAAAACACUAUUUUUCUCAGUCAAAGAUCGAUCUCCAUCAGUUGUUACUCUUGCCAUCUUGUUCGAAGCCUACCCAACACUUAACACAUUUCUUCAUAGCAUUGAAUAAAUACUGGCCUGACAUUGUGUCAUUGACUGAGUGUAUUGAAGUAUAGCCAAUAAGAAUAAUCUUCGUUUACUUGAAUUUUUUUAUUAUGAGACAGUUUCAAUAAUUUAUUUAGAUAUUUAGAAUUAUUUUAAAUAUACUUGCAUAUUUAUAUGUAUAUACUGUGGGCACAUCUGAUUUCUGUAGGUGUCCGCGGGCCGCAUAAAACAUUCUGAGGGGCCGCGUGUGGCCCGUGGUCCAUAAUUUGCCCACCCCUGAGUUAGACCCAUUGUCUUUUUUUUAAAUAUAUAUUUUAAUGUUUUUCUUGUUAUUGGUUCAUUUGUUUUUUUUUAGCAGACAGAUAAAUAUGUAAAAACUAUAGACACAGAAAGUACAGCUCUAACAGUCCCACGUAAUUCAACUCUGACCAAAAACUGGUUCGUUUCAUUAAGUAAGGACUUCACAGAAACAGAUGACCUUUACAUCAAAUGCCCCAUAGAUGACAAGGUCUGAAAAGAAUAGCUUUACUUAAUAACAUUCUUCUUCAUCUAGCCAGAUUUUUGCUGCUGAGCUGUGAGCUGUUUGUUUUUUAACAUAUACUGACCCUGGGUUAAUGUACUGACAGGUUUAAUAAUGUUUUUUUCUCUUUUUUUUCUUUGUAUUCCCAUAAUUAUUUCUUUUGAUUUUACUUUUCAACAUCUCUAAUAGUCGACAUUGUCCUCUUCAGUCUACAGUUUCCUCAAUAGUCCAUAGUAUCCUUAAUAUACUCUAUACACAUCAAUGUAUAACAUCUUUUCCGUAUGACAGCGUCCUUAACAGUCACAGCAGCCUCAUCAGUCGAUGUUAGCCUCAUCAGUCGAUGUCAGCCUCAGAAGUCGAUGUCAGCCUCAGAAGUCGACGUCAGUCUCAGCAGUCAACGUCAGCCUCAGCAGACGAUGUCAGCCUCAGCAGUCGAUGUCAGCCUCAUCAGUCGAUGUCAGCCUCAGAAGUCGAUGUCAGCCUCAGCAGACGAAGUCAGCCUCAGCAGUGGAUGUCAGCCUCAGAAGUCGAUGUCAGCCUCAGCAGACGAAGUCAGCCUCAGCAGUGGAUGUCAGCCUCAGAAGUCGAUGUCAGCCUCAGAAGUCGAUGUCAGCCUCAUCAGUCGAUGUCAGCCUCAGAAGUCGAUGUCAGCCUCAGUAGUCGAUGUCAGCCUCAGCAGUCGAUGUCAGCCUUAGCAGUCGAUGUCAGCCUCAUCAGUCGAUGUCAGCCUCAUCAGUCGAUGUCAGCCUCAGAAGUCGAUGUCAGCCUCAGAAGUCGAUGUCAGCCUCAGUAGUCGAUGUCAGCCUCAGUAGUCGAUGUCAGCCUCAGUAGUCGAUGUCAGCCUCAUCAGUCGAUGUCAGCCUCAGAAGUCGAUGUCAGCCUCAGCAGUCGAUGUCAGCCUUAGCAGUCGAUGUCAGCCUCAUCAGUCGAUGUCAGCCUCAGUAGUCGAUGUCAGCCUUAGCAGUCAACAUCGUCUCAAUAUGAAAUACAAUGUUCAACAAUCCAUAACAUCCUCAGCCGUCGACCUCAAUCCUAAUGUCGUAAAUAGUCUUAACAAUAAAAUCAACACCUUAGUUGCUCUUAAUAACGACAUUAAAAA